rnacentral:rRNA from 1 species
AGUUUGAUCCUGGCUCAGAUUGAACGCUGGCGGCAUGCCUUACACAUGCAAGUCGAACGGCAGCGGACCUUCGGGUGCCGGCGAGUGGCGAACGGGUGAGUAAUGCAUCGGAACGUGCCAUUGAGUGGGGGAUAACGUAGCGAAAGUUGCGCUAAUACCGCAUAUUCUGUGAGCAGGAAAGCAGGGGACCGCAAGGCCUUGCGCUCUUUGAGCGGCCGAUGUCAGAUUAGCUAGUUGGUGAGGUAACGGCUUACCAAGGCGACGAUCUGUAGCGGGGUCUGAGAGGAUGAUCCGCCACACUGGAACUGAGACACGGUCCAGACUCCUACGGGAGGCAGCAGUGGGGAAUUUUGGACAAUGGGGGCAACCCUGAUCCAGCCAUGCCGCGUGAGUGAAGAAGGCCUUCGGGUUGUAAAGCUCUUUCGGCCGGGAAGAAAUCGCAUGGGUUAAUACCCUGUGUGGAUGACGGUACCGGCAUAAGAAGCACCGGCUAACUACGUG